UGAUGUUUCCAAUUAUUGUGAUCAUUUCAUAGGAUAGCAAUUGGAUACAUUGUUACAACAUAGUGUAAAAUUUGGACUACCUGUGAAACCUGCAAGAAAGAACCAUUAUUGAGGGUUUAUAUUUAGCACCGGUAAGAACUUAUAGUUUCACAAUCUCCACAUUCAUGUUGUUAUGCCCCUUUUGAGCCCGAAGGCAUCUUAACAUAAGGUAAAUUAUUUAUCUUUAAAUUUUAACAUCUACAUGAAAUUGCAUACAGGAAUUUAACAUAUCUACGUUUGGUCUAUUUUCUAAAAUAUUCUCAUUGUCUUCCUUAAGUUAUAUUUUUGUUGCGGAUGUUGUUCUUGACCAAUGUAAAAUUACUAUCAUGCCCUUAUUAUAUAUAUAUAUAUAUAACUUUUAUUACUUAUUUAUAAAAAAAUUCAAUGAAAAAAAGAAAAUAAUGUUAGAGAAUAGCAUAUUGUCAUUUUACAUGGGUCAAGGACCAUAUGUGCAAUAGAUAUGGAACUUAAGGAUGCCAUUGGAAAGAUUUUAAAAAAUGGACCAAACUUGUUGUUUUGUGUAAAGCACAGUGUGAUAGCUUUUGUGAUUUACUAAAAAAUCAAAUUAUUUAAACUUAUGAUUUCAAAAUCAUUUGUUUAAUUUUAUUGAAUCUUAUACAGCUAAAGAAUAACAGCUUCUUUGGCCCGCAUAUUUGGUCUUCAAUAUGGUCAUAUAUUUUUUUUGAACGGCGGGGUUAUUAUUUAAAACUAGCAAGGAGCUAGAAAAGAAAAAUUACAAAUGAGUGGAAGCUAUGGCUGGAUUAAGAAGCCAAGCAGUCCAAACAAUCUUAGCUUUAUUACACCUAUUAGAAAUCCAAAAGUACGGUCUAUCUAUGACAUUAUCAAAAAUAAGAGAUUUCCGAGGUAAGGUUGGACCAAACAGUAAGGAAUUUCGAUAAUUCCAAAGACACACAAAAUAAAUCAAAACCACGGCGUCAAACGCCUUCCGUUGUCCUCCUUGUAGAGGAAUAUGGUCCGCCCAUGAAAAUAAAGUCAUAACAUAAAUUUGGUUCGGGAGAUGAACGUCCCACCAAAUAGCAAUAAGGGUCCAAAUAUCACACAAGUCGCUACAUCCAAUGAAAAGAUGUUCAAUAGUUUCCACUCCAUUAUGAUAAAUGGAGCAUAAAAUCGUAUCCACCUCAAUACCUCUGUGAGACAAUAUCUCCCAUGUAGGAAUGCUAUGAAGGGACAAUCUCCAGAUAAAAACGUUUAGUUUAAUGGGAACCCAGUUAUUCCAUCUAGUUUCCAUGCCGUCCACCGAAAGGAAUCUGUUGUCGAUUAAAGCACGAGAAGCAAUUGAGAAAAUGUCUGAAGCAUCAAAGAGACACCCUAAUCUGUCCGGACUAGAAUUGAGGUGAACACUCUGCAUCAACAACAUGAACCGGUCCCACUGAGAUUGCUCAAUUCCACCUCUAGGAAACCGACGAUAGUUCUCUUCACCCCCAUCCAAGAGAAACACGAUCUCUAACACACACCUGUUUGUAACUGGUCCAAGGAAAAAUCCUAUGAAAAGCAACCGCAAGAGGAACAUUUUCUUUCCAAACAUCAUGCCAAAAAGAAGUAGCAGCCCCAUUACCAACACAAAUUGGAGUGAGGGAAUCAAGAAAGUUGAAUAAGAUUCUAUCUACAUUCUGAUCGCUUACAUGAUAAUUACAAUGUAGGCGGAAGAUUUUUGGUUUUGUCAAUGUAUUCCUUUGGACAAGGGCUUAUACACUUUGAGUAAGGUAACGUCGGCAACAUCAGGACUCAUAUUUUGUGCAUUGUAUUUACCGGUAAAUCAAAUUAAAAUAUCAAAUAUAUCAAAAUAAAAUAUGUAUUUAUUUUAAGACGUGUAAAUCAUUAUAUUUUAUUGUAGAGGUGAACAGAUGGAGGUGUACAACGUUUGUGUUGAAUGGAUGGGAAAACAUUCUUGAAGCAUUUUUAUUUUUGUCACAUCAAAACUUUUAUUGAUUAGUGAUAGAGUAUUAUGUAUCGAAUAAUAUUUUAUGUUUAAUUUGUUGCAACUUUUAAUUUUGAAAUAUGUAUUUUUUAAUGUACUGGAUAUUUCUUUUAGUUUCUAUAGAAAUACUUAUUACCUUUGGUUUUAUAUUAAUUGUAUUUUUAUAAUUUAUAUAAUGAGUAACAUUGAAUAACCAAAAUUUAUUGAAUAACAGUAUGGAACAAUUUCCACGGUAUUGGGUACGGAAUUUGCUAUGGAAAAAUAGUUACGGAAUUUGCUAUGGAAUUGACUAUGAAAAAUCGCUACGGAAUUUGUUACGGAAAAAUCGUUAUGGAAUUCGCUACGGAAACACUGCUACGGUAUUGGUUACGGAAAAUUUUCUACAGAAUUUGCUACCGAUAAAUCAUUACGGAAUUUGCUACGGAAAAACUGCUAUGGAAUUGGUUACGGAAAAAUUGCUAUGGAAUUUGCUACGGAAAAAUCAUUACGGAAUUUGCUACGGAGAAACUGCUACCGAAUUAGUUACGGAAAAAUUGUUAUGGAAUUUGCUACGGAAAUACUGUGUAACUCAAACUGCAACGAAAUAAAUGUCAUAGAAACUGCCAUAGACAAAUUGCUACUGGAUUAUAAUUCCGUAGCUAAACAUAUUGUUACAAGAAAUAAAGCUACAGAGUCUAAUUGAAAAUUUAUGUAGCAAAUUCCGUAGUUAAUCAACUUUAGCUACGAAAUUUCAGCUUUUUGCUACGGAAAUUUUCCGUAGCCAAAUUGAAAUUUUCUUGUAGUGUCAAUCAUAUCUAACUUAUGUAUUCUAUCAUCACAAUUACCAUUCUUUUUUUUUCCAAUUUAUAAUAGUUAUUCUCUUGUAUACUUUCUUAUCUACAAUGGAACAAUCUACAUCUGUUGUUAUUCUAGCAUAAUUAUUAGUUGGUUGUUGACAUUCACUCGUGGUAUUGAAAAUGAUGAUGAUAGUAACUUGUGAACUUAUUAUAAGUUAUAGCAUUUAAAUUCACAUAUUUAUGUAUUAUUCUUAUUAAGUCUCUCAAUUUCAAUUAUAACUCAGUUUUACAUCAUGAGAUCUGACAUUAUGUAUGAGAAAAAUGAUUGGUGAAUGUAUUUGUGAUAAUUGACUUACAAAUUACAUGUAUGUUGUUGGUUGCACACUUGUAAAGCAAGUCCGAAUAUGGUCCAAUAAAAACAAUUGAUGAAGUCAAUUAACAAAGAAAUUCGGAUUGAAAAAGUAAUCGCAUUUUGUUUCAUAGUUGGCAUCAGUUGGAUUUCUACUUACAGGUUGAACCAAUAAUAAGUAAUUGAAUAAUAGCAUAAAUUUUUGCACCAUCUUUUAACUAAAAUUGAAUAUAAUGUUGCUUUUAUUUAAUUAUUCCUAAUGUUAAUAAAAAAUGUAAAGGCUGCAAGUACAUGAGGUUAGUGUUGUUACCCUUAACACAGAGGAAAGAUACACACUUAUGUCAAAUUAGAGGAGUAAUGAAUUUUAUAUUUCAUCUUGCAAUUUUCAUUAAAGAAUAAAUCAAGUUGAAACAUAAAAUAUUGGUAAAAAUAAGGCAAACUUAAAGUUCCCUAUAGCAUGUUGUAUUCAAUAAAAUGCCAAAUCUUGAAUAUAAACUCAACAAAGAAAAAGAAAAAGGAAACCGGCAAAGAAUAAUACAUUAGAAUUAAAAUAUAGAAAAAAAAAAAAAGAACAACAACAACAACAAAGUUGGGGCUUGUAAGAUCUGUUUUAUUAAUAGUUACGAUUCAUUAUGGAUCAAUGGUAUCAUAAUACAAAAAUAAAAUUAUUUUUUUGAUAUAUAAUUUACUACGACUUAUAUUGUUUAAGUUUAUGUUUUAUUGUGGCAUGAUCAAAUAAUCAUAAAAUAGAAACCAUUUCAGUUUUUUCACGAUUAUACAAAAUACUUUAUAUUUUUACUCAUAAUAGCAAUGUACUAUUGCCAUAAUUCCUAAUUACAACUUGUAUGAAAGUAGAUUGCUACUUCAUAAUGUAUGAUGUCAUAAUCAAGAACUUUGGUAAAAUAGGUUGUUAUUUCUCACAAUUAACCCUUAAAAUAUCAAAUUAUUUCAAUAUUACCUUUUAUCUUCCUGUGAAUUGCUUCAAAAGAUCAUUCAUUUUUCCAAGAAGAUUGGCUUGUAUUUCCUCCCGUUUCUUCACUUCCCGUUCCGGCAUGCUCUCUAAUUCAUUUAUCUAAAAUAGGUUCCAAGAAACAUAUAUAAUUAGUAUAAAAUAGAGUAGGAAAUAGCAACAUACUUUACUAUUUUUAUCAUAAUAUAGUGAACGCAUCCACAAUGAAAACAUAAUUUACAUAAUAAACAAAUUUACAUCUUAUACAUAUUAGCAAUGAACUAUACCUUUUUUUACCAAAAUAGUCAACGUACAUACAUUUAUAUAAGAACACACUAUAUAUAAAUCAAUAUAGACACAUACCUUUUAUCCAUAAUAGCAAUAUACUUCUGCAAGUUUUCUCAUAUCAAUGGGGCAUAUGAGAAUGCACACAAAAGUCAACAUAUUGACUUCCUAAAAAAAGCAAUACAUCUUUACAUUUUUUUAAGUGUUGUGUAAUGGUCAAACCACAUUAGCAUAUCAAAAUACCAAUUGUGGUAUUUUUUUUCUUUCUAUAUUUCAAGAAUAAAUUAAAAAGAUACUUGAAGGGUUAUCUAUUUAUAACUUAACUUAUAAACUCCUAAUUCCAGAAUAAGGACUAAUCUAAAAAAGGCAAAUCCUUAUCCCUCAAGAUAGAACCUUUUAAACAUAUAAAACUGAUCAAUGAAACAAUUCCAAAUUAACUAAUUAUACAUUGAUGCAUAAAAUUAAACAUAUUAAGCAAAGUGCUACUAUUCAUACAUGAUACAACAAUCUUGUUUUACCUCUAAACUAUUAUGGAACCACUAUCAUCAAAGAUGAUUUACGCAAGACAAUAAGAACAUAGUCAAGAAAUACAUGAAAAAGGAUUAAACAACCGUUUGUAGAUAACAUCUAACCUUUUUGUGAAUCAGUUAGUUGCAUUCCACUAGACAAUAAGAGCAUUAAUGAGUUGGCUGUAGCUAGGAGCUGACUUCUACUAGUUAUCAUUUCCUUGGGGCAAGAAUUAUAAAGAUACAUAAUCAAAAGCACACAAAAAGUCAACAUAUUGACUUCCAGCAAAAAACAAACAUCUUUCGUUACCUUUUUUUUUAAUUCAUUAUGUAGUCAAACCACAUAAGUAUGUCAAAAUCAAAGGAUAGAAUAGAUGUUUCGACGUCUCUGAGAAGGAAGAGUCAAUUGCCUCCUACACUUUACAACUAAAGAAUCCACAUGUCAUAUUGUGUCAUUGAAUUUCUAGACAUUUUUUUAUGAUUAUAAAAAAUCUUAAGUCAAACUCAUAUUAUAGAAUGUGAAAAGCUCUACAAUAGCCAUAAUAUGUAUAAUAGCAAAUGCAUAUUACAUGUGGCCAAAUGCAUAUUCUUUAUAUAACACUGAUAUAAUGAAAAAUUCAAGGGCUGUAUAACUCCCAUAAGUGCAUGCUAGCUUGUUUCUUUGUUAAAUAUAUAAAAUACCUAUCAAUAAAAGCAAAAAAAGAGGAAUCUUGUGGACCCAAAUCAAGACACUCAAUUAUUUGUGAUGUGAUGAUCAUGGACAUAUAUGUAAUUUUGGAAUAUUUCCCAAAUAGAAAGUCACUUUUGUGAAUUUUUAACUUUCUCUCCUCUACCCAUUAAACUGUAUUUUGACCCUAUGAUAAUCCAAAAGAUUGGCACUUUGACUUUAUCAUCUUGUUCAUAGGCUUCUUCUUCAGUUUUAAUGUCACAACUUUCUUCUUGUUCCAGUGCUUUUAUGCCCACUUCUAGCUUUUAUCCUCUUCAAACACGACUGAUAAUUAACUCAGAAGUGACAGGAUUAAAGCUUUCCUAGAAGACAACUUAUUCAUGGACUUUUCGACCAUUUUAGUUCGACUUCGGGUAGUCCAGAAACCAUCUCUAUGUACUUCAACGUCCUUAACCCUUUGUAGUUUGGACUUUAGGUGAGCAUACCUCCUGUACCAGAGCUCAGUCACAUCACUAGUGACUAGUGGCAAACGUUGAUCCCAUCCCCUUCUUUAGUUGCUGAUAAUAUAAACAUUCUAGUAUCUAGUUUAGUCAUCCAAGUUUGAUAGAUAAGCCCCUUUCUUAGAUGGUAGAAGUUGCACUUGAACAAGGAUCUUGCAAUUGUCCCAUACUUAGUAGGUUAUUGCACAAAACCGGGUAAUAUUUUCUCCACAGUCUUCACAUCUUCACCACAAUUACACAUAUCGUUGGUGAUCAUCAUUACUCUUCCAAAAUGGUGACUCUUCAUUUGUCAUUUCAAAGUAGCUCUCAGUUGUUUCUCCUGAGAGACUGUAGUAGUGUUCGUUGGACCCCUUGAGUGCUCUUGAUACUUGGUCUUCAAUAUAGCUACUUUGAUGUAUCCUUGUGUGUAAUUGUUUUAAGAAUGGCCUUUUCAACAGAACUGAACAUGUAGUUUUUUGCUUUGAUCAGAUCCUUGAAUCUGGUUUCACCGAUCCAUGAUUUUCUUUUGAGCUGCAGAAGGGCUUCUUCUUGACUGGCUCAAUAAACCCAUUCUGCACAACAUUCCAGUAAUCUUUGGACCUAAGAAGAUUUUCCAUGAGCAAACUCCAGUAAUCAUAAUCAUCAUCAAAUUUAGGAAUACUUGGUUGUGCAAAAUUACUGCUUUCAGCAUCUUCCUUUGCAACCUAUUNNNNNNNNNNNNNNNNNNNNNNNNNNNNNNNNNNNNNNNNNNNNNNNNNNNNNNNNUAUAUAUAUAUAUGUAUAUAGCCAGUACAGAGCUAAUUGUGCGAAAGAAAAGCCACUGCAGCUAAAGAGUAGGAACGGAUGACAACAAGCUAAAGAACAGGAACAUAAAUCACUGAUGGCUAAAUUACAGGCAUUAUAUUCUCUAACCAUAUCUCCAACACACAAACAGUCCAAGUUAGAACUAUUAAAGUCACCUUCCAAGUAUAGAAUGAGAAAUUUUGAUCAUCGUUUAACAAAGACUGAAAGUCUUCUGGGUGAAAAUGGAUGAAUAGACUAGAUCUUUGACUACUCCCAUGUCACAAGAGAUGAAAAUGAAUGAAGACACUAGAAUGGUAAGUCUUGCCUUGAUAUUUUUCAACAGAAAUGCAUUGUUUUCCCAUAUGAAUCUUACAGUUGAUCUGGGUUUUUGAUGAUUUCAGUUUCAUGUAUCUUGAUAGAUAACACAGCUGAAUAUUAUAAGGUGACUGGCAGGAAUCUUGUUCAGUAAGACCUAUGUAAGUUCUAUCCUUUCUUGGUUUUAAUUGAAAGGUACAUUUCUAUGAUGCCAGCAUAAACAAAAACCCAAAAGAUCUUAUGUGUGAAAAUGAGGAGAAACAAUUGAAUCUUUAUGCUAACAAGUCUAAAUGCAAGAAAUAGCAACAUACUUUGAUUUAUUUGUUUAGUAUAGCCACAUACUUUCAUUUUUUAUCAUGAUUUUGUACUUUUAGUAUACUUUUAUUUAUUUAUUAAGACUUGCUUUAAAAAAUCCUUUGAAAUAUCUGUACUUUCACGUUUAUUUCUUUAAUGUUUUGUUAAAAAUCUAAGUGAUUAUAUCAAUUAAUUUUUUUUUGUAUUCAAGUAUAAGUAUAACUAUCAUUGUACAAUGCAAUUAGGGAUGAGCAAAAGGACCGAACCGGCCGGAACCGGCCCGAACCGGACCGGACCGGGGAACCGGCUUCGGCCAAAAUCAAGAACCGAACCGGCCCGGCGGUUCUACCGGUUCCCGGUUCCUACCAGUUCUUGUCGUGUCUUCAAAUGUUGGAACCGCUCCUUGAAAUAUAGCAUCAUACGGUUCCGGUUUUUGCCGGUUCUACCGGUUCCGGUUCCUACCGAUUCCCGGUUCUAAAAAUCCACAAAAAUAACGUCCCGGUCCCGGCCCGAUCGGUUCCAUCGGGUUCCGGUUCCGGUGCCGGUUCCAGUUCCGGUACCGGUUCCGGCCGGUUCCCCGGUCCAUAUGCUCAUCCCUAAAUGCAAUAAUAGGAAAAACUGGAAGUAGGAUGCCAUAAUAAGCAAAUCAAUGGAAGUAAGUUCCUAUUUCUUGCAUUUAACACGAGUGUAGAAUUUCGGAUCGAUAAUUUCUUACAUCCUUUUUGCAGCUUGUCUGGUGAACUUUGAAAAGAUACAAUUCCGAUCCAGAUUACAAGCUCUUGCAUGAUCAAGGUAUCAAUUUUCUUUGUUGAAGAUUCAAGAUGUUAUAUAACUUUAUCUGCAAAAUUGAUACUUCAUAAGAUACGGGCACAUUGAUUUGCAAAUGAAUUUGCUAGAACAGUUUACUUGUAUGUUUAAUGUCAAAACUUGAACGUAAGAGAGAUGAUAUUUGCCAUGAAGCGCCAUGUGUAGUCUUGGUGUUGGUGUUUGUGAACACUGAACAGUUUACUUGUAUGCUUAAUUAAUGUGCGUCACAUUCCAAAACAUGAAUGUUAGUAUGUAAUUUUUGGUGAAAACUAAAAGAUUUAUCUGACUUUGUAGGAGUGCUGACAUUUAAAUUUUGGUGAAACAUUGGAGUAUUAUGGAACAAUAAAGGAGAGAAUGAUGCCUGGGAGGGAUACGAAAAACUAGAAAAAACCAAAAAUCAUUUCUAGUCAUCAAGUGCAAGCAUGUAUAUGAGUCAUAAAUUUGUAACACAUGUAUAUGUAAUGUUGGAUGAGUUAAAGAUUAAAAUUAUUUACACAGCUUGUUUCAUACUGAACAACAUUCCUUGAAUUCUUUAUUUCUUGUCAACCGUUGGAUAGAAGACACAGACAGCUUCCCAGUGAUGAUGAUACAGUUGACACUCACACACCAACUACUCCCUUGGGUCCUGUUCCGGGAUGAUUUCCAAUAAUUCUUGAACCGCAGGGCCAUCAUUUGUAAUGUAAUUCAUUUCUCCGAUGAGUUGGUCAUCUGUUGGACAAAAUAACCUCUGGAUGACCAUGUAAGUGAUGUAUGGAAGAAGUGAAACAACCACAACUAACAAUGUGGCGAUCCAAUACAUGGGUGCAGGGCUCACGGCUUCCACAAGGAGUUUAAACUCUCGGCGGGAGUAUACAGGCGGAAGUGCACCAUAGAGGAGUAAGAACAUGUACCAACACAACACGCUUCCCCAGAUUAACAUAUGUUGGAUCCAAGUGGUGAACUGAAUUAUGAUGAGAGCGAUUUGACAGUUAACUGUCCAAACAAUCAUGGUGUACAUGAACACUCCUAAGUGUGAGAUGUUUGCUACUUCUCCAUGUCGGAAGGCCGAGUUAGAGAGAAUCUGGAUGCUUAGGGUGAAUAUCAAAAGAGAUGUAAGUAUUCCGUUUCCCAUCCAGCCCAGGAUUUGCCUCCAACUAAAUGAAAUGCCCUUUUGUCCCUGUUGAUAAAUGCCUGGAAACUGUACAUGUAGCAAGGAACGAAGCAGGCUUAGAAUUCCAACGAUACAAAGAUUACUAAUUUGGUUGUUUUGCAAAAAUACCUCAAGGCAACUAUGGAAGGAAACGUCUUGACCCAAAACGCCUAACGAUAUGACAUGAAGAAAUGUUAGAAGGAGAUUGAACAUAAGCAUAUACCAUCCGUCAUACAAGACAACCCCGCCAAACUUGGUGUAGAUUUCAAAGUAGAAUAACGUAAGGCAGAAUACAAUGUUUUUGUAUAGGGAGUAGAGAAUCUGUAGCAAGAGACCAAGAUUUACAAAGUAUGUUUAUGGUGUUGUGGUAUACACCGGACCGGAUACCAAAGUGGUCCGCAACUCCAUGACAUCGCCUUCUAAACAGAGCAGGGUAGAGACAAGGUUGGACAAGGUGAUAUAUGUUUUGUUCUUGAUGUUGAUAAUUAUAUCUUUGAUCACCUCCAUUGGUUCAUCUUGAUACACCACAGAGACAGCAAAAGGACAUUGGUACCUUCAAUUGCUAGAAGGUAGAGAUGAGUCUUUUGAUCCACGUAGACCAUUGAUACCUUCUCUUACGUUCAAGUUGUUGGUGUGUCUUCUGCAUACUUUUAUAUGUCGUUUCCAUUUUGAAUUGAAAAAAAUAAUCAACCAAGACAAGAAACUUACUCGUCAACGCCCUUGCAGAAUAGGAAAAUCCGACCAUAUUCAUUAUUUGUGAUCAAUGACAUCCUUUUUCACGAGCUAUUGAAUUCCAAUAGAUUCAAUACCUCGUAUAUCCUAAAAUUGACCCAUGAGAGUUUUUUUCUUUUAAUAUGCAAACCUUAUAAGAUAUUAAUAAAAAUGAAUUGAGGAAAAUGCAAAACGGUGUGGUGUUAUGGUAUACACUGGCCCGGAAACCAAAGUGGUCCGCAACUCAAUGACAUCGCCUUCUAAAUGGAGCAGGGUAGAGAACAGGUUGGACAAGGUGAUAUAUGUUUUGUCCUUGAUGCUGAUAAUCAUAUCCUUGAUCACCUCCAUUGGUUCAUCUCGAUACACCACGGAGACAGCAAAAGGACAUUGGUAACUUCAAUUGCUCGAAGGUAGAGAUGAGUCUUUUGAUCCACGUAGACCAUUGAAGUCGACUGUCCUCCAAUUCUUAAGGGCGCUCAUACUCUAUGGUUACUUGACCCCGAUUUCCUUAUGUCUCCAUUAAGGUGGUGAAGUUCAUGCAAACAAUGCUCAUAAACGAGUUAGAGUUGUUUGACGAACGGAGUAGAAAAUUCGUUGAAGCACGGACCUCAAACCUGAAUGAAGAACUAUGUCAGGUCCAGAUGAUAUUGUUUGACAAAACCAAGACAUUGACAUGUAACCAGAUGGAGUUCAAGAAGUGCUCUAUUGAGGGGACUUCAUAUGCCAAUGGUGAUUUAUAUAAGGUUGUCCGUGAUGCUUAUGAGCAAAAUGGUUCUUUUGAAGAUGAAUCCAGUGUGGAGAUGAUGUUUGAGAUCUCUUCUGAGGCAAACAAGUGAUGCAGAUAUAAAGUUGUUCUUCAGAGUCAUGGCUCUAUGCCACACAGGCAUAGCAGUCGAAACUGAAGGCAUCAACAAACUCCAUUAUGAAGCCGAGUCCCCAAAAGAAGUAACGUUUCUUUAUGUUGCACAAGAGUUUGGUUACCAAUUCUGGAAAAGGACACAAUCUUCUAUGUUUGUCAGAGAGAUCAAUACUAAUCGUGCCCACGAGCUGCAAAGGUCAGUGCUUUUCCACACCGUUUUGCAUUUUCCUCAUUUAUUUUUAUUAAUAUCUUAUAAGGUUGCAUAUUAAAAGAAAAAAACUCUCAUUGGUCAAUUUUAGGAAAUACGAGGUAUUGAAUCUAUUGGAAUUCAAUAGAUCGCGAAAAAGGAUGUCAUUGAUCACAACGGAUGAAUAUGGUCGGAUUUUUCUAUUCUGCAAAGUCGCUGACGAGUAAGUUUCUUGUCUUGGUUGAUUACUUUUUUUCAAUUCAAAAUGGAAACGACAUAUAAAAGUAUGCAGAAGACACCAACAACUUGAACAUAAGAGAAGGUACCAAUGUCCUUUUGCUGUCUUCGUGGUGUAUCGAGAUGAACCAAUGGAGGUGAUCAAGGAUAUGAUUAUCAACAUCAAAAACAAAACAUAUAUCACCUUGUCCAACCUUGUCUCUACCCAGCUCCGUUUAUAAGGCAAUGUCAUGGAGUUGCGGACCACUUUGGUGUUCGGUCUGGUGUAUACCACAACAUCAUAAACAUACUCUGUAAAUCUUGGUCUCUUGCUGCAGAUUCUCUACUCUCUGUACAAAAACAUUGUAUUCUGCCUUACAUUAUUCUACUUUGAAAUCUACCCCAAGUUCGGCGGGGUUUGUCUUGUAUGACGGAUGGUAUGUGCUUAUGUUCAAUCCCCUCCUAACAUUCCUUCAUGUCAUAUCGUUAGGCGUCUUGGGUCAAGACGUUUCCUUCCAUAGUUGCCUUGAGGUAUUUUUGCAAAAAAACCAAAUUAGUAAUCUUUGUAUCGUUGGAAUUCUAAGCCUGCUUCUUUCCUUGCUGCAUGUACAGUUUCCAGACAUUUAUCAAGACAUUUAUCAACAGGGACAAAAGGGCAUUUCAUUUAGUUGGAGGCAAAUCCUGGAUGGGAGACGGAAUACUUACAUCUCUUUUGAUAUUCACUCUAAGCGUCCAGAUUCUCUCUGACUCGGCCUUCCGACAUGGAGGAGAAGUAGCAGACAUCUCACACUUAGGAGUGUUUAUGUACACCAUGAUUAUUUGGACAGUUAUCUGUCAAAUUGCUCUCAUCACAAUUCAUUUCACCACUUGGAUCCAAAAUAUGUUAAUCUGUGGAAGCGUGUUGUGUUGGUACAUUGUUAGUUGUGGGCCCUGCACCCAUCCACACUGUUAGUUGUAGUUGUUUCAUUUCUUCCAUACAUCACUUACAUGGUCAUCCAGAGGUUAUUUUAUCCAACAGAUGACCAACUCAUCGGGAAAAUGAAUUACAUUACAAAUGAUGUUGUAAAUAUGGUCCAUGAGGUUCAAGUAUUAUUGGAAAUCAUCCCAUAACAAGACCCAUGACAUCGUUCUUAGGCUUUGGGGUAUACCGGCCACACCAAGGGCAUAGUAGGUGUGUGAGUGUCAACUGUCGGAUUGCAGCAAUCUGAUCGUCAUCACUUAUUUCAUAUGUUAAUCUGGGGAAGUUGUCUGUGUCUUUUAUCCAACGGUUGACCAACUCCUCAAGGAAAUGAAGAACUCAACGAAUGUUGUUUAGUAUAAGACAAGCAGUGUGCCUCACUUUGUAAAUAAUUUUAAUCUUUAACUCGUCCAACAUUGCAUGUCCAUGUGUUGCAAAUUUAUGACUCAUAUAUCUGAAUUACAGACAUGCUUGCACUUGAUGACUAGAAAUGCUUUUCGGUUUUUUCUAGUUUUUUGUAUCCUUUCCGGGUGUCUACUAAUUUUCAUCUUGCCGGUUUAAGAGAGAGAGAGAUACACAACUCAGAAGGCUUUUUAAGUUGGGCAUCAUUCUCUCCUUUAUUGUUCCAUAAUAUUCUAAUGUUUCACCAAAAUUUAAAUGCCAGCACUCCCACAAAAUCAGAUAAAUCUGUUAGUUUUCACCAAAAAUUACAUACUAACAUUCAUGUUUUGGAAUGUGACGCACAUUAAUUAAGAAUACAAUUAACUGUUCAGUGUCCACAAACACAAACACCAACACCAACACUACACAUGGCGCUUGAUGGCAAAUAUCAUCUCUCUUACGUUCAAGUUUUGACAUUAAACAUACAAGUAAACUGUUCUAGCAAAUUCAUUUGCAAAUCAAUGUGUCCAUAUCUUAUGAAGUAUCAAUUUUGCAGAUAAAAUUAUAUAACAUCUUGAAUCGUCAACAAAGAAAAUUGAUACCUUGAUCAUGCAAGAGCUUGUAAUCUGGAUUAGAAUUGUAUCUUUUCAAAGUUCACCAGACAAGCUGCAAAAAGGAUGUAAGAAAUUAUUGAUCCGAAAUUCUACACUCGUGUGAAAUGCAAGAAAUAGAAACUUACUUCCAUUGAUUUGUUUAUUAUAGCAUCCUACUUACAGUUUUUCCUAUUACUAAUCAACCCAAAAGAAAAAACCUAUGAACAAGAACAUGAAGUCGAGACUUCAAGAGAUGUGCCAUCUCUCAUUCCAGAACCAGAAGUUAUUUAAUCUACAACACCAAAAGAAAAGCAGGUAACAAUGUUGUUGAAGGGUCACAAAGGCCCACAAGAGUUAGAAGGCUUCCUCAUUAUCUACAAGCUUACAACUAUUCAUUAGAGGAGAAGAAAAUACUCGAGAACACGAACUCAUCAACAACUGUAUGGUAGAAGUUGUUGAAGAUCGAAACACAUUCGAGGAAGCAAUGAAAGAUGGAGUAUGGAAGAAAACAAUUAAAAGUGAGUGAAUCAGUAGAAAAUAACACCAGGAAACUCACUACCCACUGUCUAUUGCAAACUUUGCAAAUUCCAAACCAAGGGUUCCUCUUACAGGGGUAUUAGAGUGUCAAACUCAAGAUGAAAUUUUGGGCCGAUAAGCCCGGUCAAUACCAAGUCUUGACCUCCUAAUGAAAUGCUGUGGCCCAAAUCCCAAUUUGUUUUGGACUGCUUUCGAUUGAACAUUCUCUGUGUAUUUAAUUAGUUUGUUGGGAUUUUGUCUUUAUGAAGUAAGCACUAUAGUAGUGGUAUUGGUAGACAAGGUAGUGGAAACAGCAGGUUUUGUGAUCUGUGUGCUGGCAUUCCAUUUUUUGUCUUUUAUUACUAGUAUCUAUACCCUGGUGGCUGCUGGAAAAAGGUAUCCAGAUAUUUUGUAGUGAAGCUUUCCUCUAGAAAAAAAAUCCAUGGUAUCUUUGAAAAAAAAUCCAUGGAAGUAGGAUGCUAAACAAUACACCCAAUAUUACAAAAAAAUACAAUGAAAACUAAACAACCUAAUAUUUCAUUAUAAUUACUAGCCAAUAGUUUCCAAUCAUUCCAAUCGACUGUGUCAUCUUCGCUAUCCAAGUAUCAAACCUGACUUCCCAAUCUCAAUAUCGAGCCAUUCGCUAUCAACAUGAACAAAACUAGAAUUGAAAUUCACUGAAUCAACAAAUAAGAAUUUAAUUUUGACUUUUUAUGUUUGACUCUGAUGAACACAAUUGACUCAAUUGCGUUCGACUCCAAUCAAACAAUUAUGUUCAAUCAAGUAAAACCAUUCGCUGUAUGUUCGAAUGAACACAUAUAGACCAUAUCAGAUCAAAAUUGAAAUAUAACCUAACAAGUAGCAAUCACUUUGAUGAACAGGGGCAACAACACAAGGGGUAGGAUCGACAAAAUCAAGCCAAAAAAAAUUGAUGGAGAGAGCGACACAAAAUGUGUUAUGACAGAAGUAUACAAUCAACAAUUCUAAUUGAAAUAAAACAAACGAAAUUCAAAUAUAUCUAAAAUAUAAGAAUCAAUAUACAGAAAAACAUACUUGUAUUAAGAUUACACAGGAGAUAUAAUCAGGAAAUUGCACAGAUUGAGGCCUGCUAUGCAGUGUCCUAAGACAGAAAUUUUCCUGGUGGGGAUCUGUCAAGAGGAUACAACAAUCAAUCCAAGAAGGGAUCUUGAAUCUGACGAAAUUCCUAUGUUCCCUUCAUCUUUUGGAAGAAUGAAUUUGAAAGAGAAUUUUAUGGUGUGAAAAUGAUUUCUGUAACCCCUCACAGAUGAAUGAAACAGGUAUUUAUAGGUAUUAGUUAUGACAGUUGGAAACCGUCAAAACCGAAAAUAACUUUCAAAACCUGUCAUUCAGUAAUUACGAAUUUAAUAAAAAUAAAGAAUAAAAAUUAAUUUCGUAAUUAAAAAUUAUUUAAUUAAUCAGGAAGACCCCAAGGCCCAAGGCCCAUCUUUUGACCAUUAAAUAUUCUCUUGAUAUUAGCCCAUUUUGAGUCCAAUUAGGCUAAUCCAACACCACAACCCAAGCCCAAUAUGCUUAACCCAUUACUUGACCCAUUUAAUUAAAUGAGUGGGACUAGACAUAUAAGGUGGGAGAAGGUUUUCUCUUCCACCAAUGUGGGAUAAGUCCCACAUUGUAAUUUUAUAGUCAAAGUUCCAACAAAAUGCUUACUUUCACCAUCGUGCUUGAAUGUUGUUUGGGAUUGGGAUUGAAACAGAAUAAUCGAGUUUUAGGGGAAAAAUAACCUUACCAAAAGUUGAGUUGUCGAUGAGGGACCUGGAAGGCUUCGGCGAUGACGGCACUGGCGAAAGAUCCGGCGGGCUGGUUCCGAAGAUGGAGUGAGGGAACGUCGUGUGUAUUGAAAGAGAAGAGGGAAAGUGGGACUGAAAUAUCAAGGGAAAACCCGGAGAUGAUGCCGGAGGCGAUGCAGCUGGAGCAGGAGACGAAGGCGCCACAGGCGAAUCCGACGGCGGCAGCAGGAGAGGGGAUCGGAGUUGUAGCAGUGUUGAGUGGAGGAGAGGCGUCGUUGAUGGUUGGGAGGGGAAAAAGAGGUUGCGUCGUUGUGGGCAAAACAGGAAACACGCGUUCCCUUAUUUAUUUUUAUUUUUUUUCAGAUGCAAUCACAUGUCUGAGAAAUUAAGAGGUGUUUUUUAAUUUAAGUGGCAUAAAAUAAGAUGCUAUCAAACACCCUACAUCUGAAUUUUUAAGAGGUUACCUCUUAAUUUUUAAAUUAAGAGGUAAACAAACAGCCCCUGAGUCAUGGAUCCUUUGUCAAUUUCAGUAUUUUAUUCUAGAAUAUCAAUGGGCUUAUCAUGUUCACCAGGCUACGCCACAAGCUCGGAGUAUGUAAAGAUUAAACAGUUAGAUAGCGGGGAGGCAUUGUUGGAGAUAUCGUUAGAGAAUAAAAUGCCUAUAGUUUAGGCAUCAGUGAUUUAUGUUCCUGUUCUUUAGCUCGUUGUUAUCCGUUCCUACUCUUUAGCCGUAGUGGAUUUUCUUUCGCACAAUUAGCUUUGUACUAGCUAUAUAUUCAGCCAUUGAUUCAUUCAUGAAUAAAUUAAGGUGUUCAAUACUUAUGUGUGUCUUCUUAUUUCAGAGUUCAACAAAGUGGAACAUUGAAACUGGAGGGUUGUUUGCAGACUGUUGUGGAGAUAGAGGGGCUGUGUUGUAACCUGUGACCAAUAUAAAUUUGUUUCAUUCGCUUUGUAUUUUACUACGUUUCUUUUAAAAGGAGUCAGACAUUUUUUUUCCUUUCAUAUUUCGCUUUGCUCAUAUGUGUAAUGAAUGUGUGUUGGGGUUUGUGUUCUUGAGAGCAGGUUAAGGGAAUUGCAGCGAGUUUUCAGUUGUAUUUGUUUCACGAGAUUAAUAAAAGUUGAUUUUAGGUUUCAGCUAAGUCUUCAAGAUACAGUGUUAAUCCACAGUUAUAUCAAAUUAUAUGAAAAGAGAAAACUGCAUCAUAUCAGCAUCUACGUUAUUUAAACAAAGAAUAACGAAAACAAAUCAUAAUGACGAACAAAAAAAAAACACACGCAGAUCAAGAAAAACAAAGAAAAUAUACCCGAGUAUCAUAUUGAUAUCACUCCUAAACCGCACAAUCAUAAAGUCCCAAAACACUAUUCUUUACAAUACCCCCAACCACGAUACCGAAUUGUAAAGUCUAAAAACACCUAAUUGACUAAAGUCAAGAAAACAAGGUCCAAAGUGUUACCUGGGAUUCAGAAUCCGAUCCUCCGUCAACAUGAACGAUUAGUCAAAUUAAAUGGCCCGUUUAACGUUCCAAGCACUUCUGCUUUUUGUGGAUGAUUAUCGUCGCCGGAGAGACGAGACACACCAAAUUUUGGAUCUUUCAGCGUCGCCGGUGGUGGCGGUUAUGUUCAUGAAGGUAAAAUAAAGUUUUGGGUUUUUC
rnacentral:lncRNA from 1 species